rnacentral:lncRNA from 1 species
UAAAAAAAAAGGCGAGAAUGUGUGGCGUAGCUAAUAUUCUGUCUUCAAACUCAGUAGGAAGUCAACAAAGAAAAAUCCCGCUGAAAGCGCCAAGGCCGGCUGGGUUCCCCGCACCUCCUGCACCUCCUCCUUUCGGAGAAAUUAACAAGUCCUGCAGGUACAACUGAUGCACCCUGUAGCCCCGCUGUCCCUCCAGGAUGUCCCGGUGGGAUGGGAGCCGGCGCCACCCCGACCUGUGUUCCAGCCACCCGCCUGCAGCCCGGGCCCCAGUUCCGGGGCCUGUACCGAUCAUAUCCUCCUCCCGGUUCUCAAAGCUGAUCCUGGUGUUGUACUUCUCCAUCAGAGUCGAGGACUCCAGGGUGUCCCUCACCUUUGUGUCGCCCUGCAGGGCAAAGCCCCCUUCAGCCGUGCAGACACUCUGAACGGGAGCCUGUCAGCUUUGAGGGGACGUGGGCUGUGCAGGUUCCUCCCAGCCCGGGGCUACCUCCUCGGUCCUGGACACCAUCUGCACUCUGUCAGCCAGCAUGUCUGUCAUUUUCUUCUCAACGGACUUGAAGCUGCAGAAGGCAAUAGGGACACAGCAGUGAGGGGCACAGGCCCGAGAGCCAUGGUGGGCCACCCAGGAGCCCAGUCCUGAGUUGGGUGCUGUGCCAGAAUCAGGGACUCAGAAGCUCAGCUCCAGGUUCUCCUCCGUGUUCCUCUGGGCCAGGAAGCGGCUAGUGAUGUCCUGGCCAGUCCGGGGGAGAGAGAAGCAGAGUGCCUCAGACCCCAGCCCAGCUCAGCCACCCUCCUGCCAUGCUCCGGGAGUGCCAGGGAGCAUUACCCAGACGUGAGAGGCUCAGCCACCCUCCUGCCAUUCUCUGGGAGCGCCAGGGGCAUUACCCAGACGUGAGAGCACCGUACAGCACUCUUGACCUUCUCCACCACAGCAGUCACGCCCGACUGGUAUUCCAUUUCUGCUGUGGAGGUCUCUUUUCUCCUCACUGGCAGAGCAGAGGGGAGGGGCAGUCAGCAUGCAGGGAUGGCUCAGGGGCUCUGUGUAAGGCUGUCAGACACCUCUGUACCUGCCCAGCUGCUGGGGCGGCCACCCAAGACACAGGCAUCCUUCAGAGAUGCCUGCCCCCGCCCCAACCUGCUCCCUCCUCAGCCCAGCCCUGCAGGGACGCCCCAGGCAGCCCCAGAGCAGAGGUGGACCCGGAGUGAGUGGCGCAGCACUGUGAGCACUGUGGGCCCGGUGGUGCUUCUCAGAGGCAGCUUAGGGGUCAGGAUGCUCAUCCUCUGCAGAGUCACUGGGGACUGGGCCCUUGGUGCAGGGCCCUUGGGUGCUGGGGCCAGCAUCUCUGAGGCCACAUUUGGCUACAGGCUCUCAGCCUCUGGAGGGAGAGGCAGGGACCUGUCCUUCCCUUCACCCUGGCGACCACAUGUCACACCUGGCCUCAGGGUGACUUGAUCCGUUGGCCUGAAUCAGUGCCAGCCUCUCCUUGGGACCCUGGCUGGGGGCAGGUGGGGAGCUGAGCGCUUACAUUUCAGGGUCUCCGUGCUCAUCAGGUUCGAGGGGAAGUCCAAGUCCAUCUGGCCCUGAUGGGAGGUGGGGGCGGGGAAGGGAUGAGACAUCCUUGGCAGGGAGUGGGCCCUGAGUGGUGGCCCUGAGCCUGUGUCCACCCAGCUGUCAUGGGGAUGGGCAGCCAGCCAGGCCCUGGCCUGGGGCUUACCCGGCGGUACUUCUCGCUGGUCUCCUUCGUGUGGAUCUUGUCGAUCAGCUUCUUCUGCUGGUUGAGCCGGUUCUCCCUUGCCCGGCGCUCCUCGAUGAAGGACGCCUCCCUUUGCCUCAUGUUCCUCUGGGGACAUGCGGGUGGGCACAGGGUUGGGGAGCUGUCUCAACAAGGCCCCUAAUGGCAGUAAAGCCAGCGGGCGGUUGGCCAUGCUCACCUUACUAGACUUUGGAACUGCAUCCCCGGCCAAUGGCCACACCCUUUUCCUAAACCACUUGUGCCCGUGGCCCCUCAGCUCACGGCCCUCCUUGCCCAUGCCUCAGAGCAUGUGCCAGCCCAGACGCUCUGCUGCCCUCCAGCCGCUGGCCCCCAGCUGCCUCCUGGCCAGGUCCACCUAGAACUCACGGAAGUGCAUUCAGCCUGCCUGAAGACAGAUUCAUCCUCUUCCCCAAAACCUGGCCUCUUCCAGCGUGCCCUUGGGCAGCUAAAACCGUCAUCUGCUAACCCCUGCUCACGCACCCCAGACACUGCUCUCACCCUCGCCACUCUCGUUGCCAGCGCUUAGUGGGGUUGCCUCUUGAGGAGUUCUCAGCUCCGUUGCUCCUGGCCACCCCUUCUCCACCCCGGGUAUACCCAGGUGAUCAGCGCUUCUGCCCUGGCACCUUCCAGUCCCUGCAGCCUGAGUACACCCUUUCUGAAG